CCUACGGGUGGCAGCAGUGAGGAAUAUUGGUCAAUGGGCGGGAGCCUGAUUCAGCCAAGCCGCGUGAAGGAAGAAGGCGCCAAGCGCCGUAAACUUCUUUUGUCGGGGAACAAAGGGCGCCACGUGUGGCGUUGUGAGUGUACCCGAAGAAAAAGCAUCGGCUAACUCCGUGCCAGCAGCCGCGGUAAUACGGGGGAUGCGAGCUUUAUCCGGUUUUAUUGGGUUUAAGGGGUGCGAAGCGGGUCCGUAAAGUCACCGGUAAUAGCCCGGGGCUCAACCCCGGCGAGCCGUUGAAACUGGCGGACUAGAGACGGCGAGAGGUACGCGGAAUGCGCGGUGUAGCGGUGAAAUGCAUAGAUAUCGCGCAGAACUCCGAUGGCGAAGGCAGCGUACCGGCGCCGGACUGACGCUGAGGCACGAAAGCGUGGGUAUCGAACAGGAUUAGAUACCCCAGUAGUC
rnacentral:rRNA from 1 species